GACGAACGCUGGCGGCGUGCUUAACACAUGCAAGUCGAACGGAAAGGCCCUGCUUUUGUGGGGUGCUCGAGUGGCGAACGGGUGAGUAACACGUGAGUAACCUGCCCUUGACUUUGGGAUAACUUCAGGAAACUGGGGCUAAUACCGGAUAGGAGCUCCUGCUGCAUGGUGGGGGUUGGAAAGUUUCGGCGGUUGGGGAUGGACUCGCGGCUUAUCAGCUUGUUGGUGGGGUAGUGGCUUACCAAGGCUUUGACGGGUAGCCGGCCUGAGAGGGUGACCGGCCACAUUGGGACUGAGAUACGGCCCAGACUCCUACGGGAGGCAGCAGUGGGGAAUAUUGCACAAUGAGCGGAAGCCUGACGCAGCAACGCCGCGUGCGGGAUGACGGCCUUCGGGUUGUAAACCGCUUUCGCCUGUGACGAAGCGUGAGUGACGGUAAUGGGUAAAGAAGCACCGGCUAACUACGUGCCAGCAGCCGCGGUGAUACGUAGGGUGCGAGCGUUGUCCGGAUUUAUUGGGCGUAAAGGGCUCGUAGGUGGUUGAUCGCGUCGGAAGUGUAAUCUUGGGGCUUAACCCUGAGCGUGCUUUCGAUACGGGUUGACUUGAGGAAGGUAGGGGAGAAUGGAAUUCCUGGUGGAGCGGUGGAAUGCGCAGAUAUCAGGAGGAACACCAGUGGCGAAGGCGGUUCUCUGGGCCUUUCCUGACGCUGAGGAGCGAAAGCGUGGGGAGCGAACAGGCUUAGAUACCCUGGUAGUCCACGCCGUAAACGGUGGGUACUAGGUGUGGGGUCCAUUCCACGGGUUCCGUGCCGUAGCUAACGCUUUAAGUACCCCGCCUGGGGAGUACGGCCGCAAGGCUAAAACUCAAAGGAAUUGACGGGGCCCCGCACAAGCGGCGGAGCAUGCGGAUUAAUUCGAUGCAACGCGUAGAACCUUACCCGGGUUUGACAUGGAUCGGGAGUGCUCAGAGAUGGGUGUGCCUCUUUUGGGGUCGGUUCACAGGUGGUGCAUGCCUGUCGUCAGCUCGUGUCGUGAGAUGUUGGGUUAAGUCCCGCAACGAGCGCAACCCUUGUUCACUGUUGCCAGCACGUUAUGGUGGGGACUCAGUGGAGACCGCCGGGGUCAACUCGGAGGAAGGUGGGGAUGACGUCAAGUCCUCAUGCCCCUUAUGUCCAGGGCUUCACGCAUGCUACAAUGGCUGGUACAGAGAGUGGCGAGCCUGUGAGGGUGAGCGAAUCUCGGAAAGCCGGUCUCAGUUCGGAUUGGGGUCUGCAACUCGACCUCAUGAAGUCGGAGUCGCUAGUAAUCGCAGAUCAGCAACGCUGCGGUGAAUACGUUCCCGGGGCU
rnacentral:rRNA from 1 species